rnacentral:tRNA from 1 species
GCGGGCAUCGUAUAAUGGCUAUUACCUCAGCCUUCCAAGCUGAUGAUGCGGGUUCGAUUCACGCUGCCCGCUCCA